AGCGAACGCUGGCGGCAGGCCUAACACAUGCAAGUCGAACGAAGUCUUCGGACUGAGUGGCGAACGGGUGAGUAAUACAUCGGAACGUGCCUAGUAGUGGGGGAUAACUACUCGAAAGAGUGGCUAAUACCGCAUGAGAUCUACGGAUGAAAGCAGGGGAUCGCAAGACCUUGUGCUACUAGAGCGGCCGAUGGCAGAUUAGGUAGUUGGUGGGAUAAAAGCUUACCAAGCCGACGAUCUGUAGCUGGUCGGAGAGGACGAUCAGCCACACUGGGACUGAGAAACGGCCCAGACUCCUACGGGAGGCAGCAGUGGGGAAUUUUGGACAAUGGGCGCAAGCCUGAUCCAGCAAUGCCGCGUGCAGGAUGAAGGCCUUCGGGUUGUAAACUGCUUUUGUACGGAACGAAAAGCCCCGGGUUAAUACCCUGGGGUCAUGACGGUACCGUAAGAAUAAGCACCGGCUAACUACGUGCCAGCCGCCGCCGUAA
rnacentral:rRNA from 1 species